rnacentral:rRNA from 1 species
CCCCGUGGAGCUCGACUGCAACCUGUUAUGUAAGGUUUGUACCGCUUGUACAGGAUAGGUAGGAGCCGAAGAGCCGUGUGCGCUAGCAUACGAGGAGGCAAUGGUGGGAUACUCCCCUGGCUGUAUGACCAUUCUAACCCGCCACGCUUAGCGCGUGGGGAGACAGUGUCAGGUGGGCAGUUUGACUGGGGCGGUCGCCUCCUAAAGAGUAACGGAGGCGCCCAAAGGUUCCCUCAGAAUG